AUGAAUCCUCAUUGCCUGCACUGGGAACAGCUGGGAAAGCAGGGAAUGGAAUCUGGGAUAAAGCCCCAAUUCCCAGCCUUGGAACAACUGGAAAAACAGGGAAUGGAAUCCCAGGGAAUGGAAUCCCAGAUAAACCCCAAUUCCCACUCUUUGCAUAACUGGGAAAACAGCGAAUGGAAUCCCAGAAAAAUCCCCAUUCCCAGCCUUGGAACAACUGGGAAAACAGGGAAUGGAAUCCCAGAUAAAUCCUGGAUAAAUCCCCAUUCCUGCCCUUGGAACAACUGGGAAAACAGGGAAUGGAAUCCCAGAAAAACCCCAAUUCCCACUCUCUGCGUAACUGGGAAAACAGGGAAUGGAAUCCCAGAUAAAUCCUGGAUAAAUCCCCAUUCCUGCCCUUGGAACAACUGGAAACCCAGGGAAUGGAAUCCCAGAAAAACCCCAAUUCCCACUCUCUGCGUAACUGGGAAAACAGGGAAUGGAAUCCUGGAUAAAUCCCGGAUAAAUCUCAGAUAAAUCCCGGAUAAAUCCCCAUUCCUGCCCUUGGAACAACCAGAAAACCCAGGGAAUGCAAUCCUGGAUAAAUCCCAAUUCCCACUCUUUGCACAACUGGGAAAACAGGGAAUGGAAUCCCAGAUAAAUCCCGGAUAAAUCCUGGAUGAAUCCUCAUUCCCAGCCUUGGAACAACUGGGAAAACAGGGAAUGGAAUCCCAGAUAAAUCCUGGAUAAAUCCCCAUUCCUGCCCUUGGAACAACUGGAAACCCAGGGAAUGGAACCCCAGAAAAACCCCAAUUCCCAGCCUUGGCAGGGCUGGAAAAGCAGGGAAUGGAAUCCUGGAGAAAUCCUGGAUAAAUCCCCAUUCCCAGCCUUGGAACAACUGGAAAAACAGGGAAUGGAAUCCCAGGGAAUGGAAUCCCAGAUAAAUCCUGGAUAAAUCCCAAUUCCCAGCUUUUGCAUAACUGGAAAAAAACAGAGAAUGAAAUCCCAGAAAAACCCCAAUUCCCAGCCUUGGAACAACUGGAAAAACAGGGAAUGCAAUCCUGGAUAAAUCCCACUUCCCACUCUCUGCGUAACUGGAAAAAACAGGGAAUGGAAUCCUGGAGAAAUCCCGGAUAAAUCCUGGAUGAAUCCUCAUUCCCAGCCUUGGAACUACUGGAAAAACAGGGAAUGGAAUCCCAGGGAAUGGAAUCCCAGAUAAAUCCUGGAUAAAGCCCAAUUCCCAGCUUUUGCAUAACUGGGAAAACAGGGAAUGAAAUCCCAGAAAAACCCCAAUUCCCACUCUCUGCGUAACUGGGAAAAACAGAGAAUGGAAUCCUGGAGAAAUCCUGGAUAAAUCCCCAUUCCCAGCCUUGGAACAACUGGAAAAACAGGGAAUGAAAUCCUGGAUAAACCCCAAUUCCCACUCUUUGCACAACUGGGAAAAACAGGGAAUGGAAUCCUGGAGAAAUCCCCAUUCCCAGCCUUGGAACAACUGGAAACCCAGGGAAUGGAAUCCCGGAUAAAUCCUGGAUAAAUCCUGGAUAAAUCCCCAUUCCUGCCCUUGGAACAACUGGAAAAACAGGGAAUGGAAUCCUGGAUAAACCCCAAUUCCCACUCUCUGCAUAACUGGGAAAAACAGGGAAUGGAACCCCAGAUAAAUCCCGGAUAAAUCCCGGAUAAAUCUCGGAUAAAUCCCGGAUAAAUCUCGGAUAAAUCCCCAUUCCCAGCCCUGGCACGGCUGAAACCCCGGGAAUGCAAUCCCCGCCUAAAUCCCGGCCCGCGAUUCCAGCCUCCGUCUCCCCUGGAAAUCGGGAUGUUAUUUUUCCCUAAUAAUCCCUGCUGGGAGAAGCUCCUCCCUGCCCGGAAAACAAACCCAAAACCCCCCACCCUCAUCCCAAAAAAAAAAAAUCCUGGGAAAAACGGCGCAAAUUCCUGCAUUUCAACCCUCGGGAAUGCGGCGACUCUGGGGAAACCCCGACCUCAACCCUUGGGAAUUUUUAUUAAUUAAUUAAUUUAUUAAUUUAUUUAUUCAUUCCCCUCUCUUUUGUCCCGGAUCCAACCUCUCACCUCGGGAUAAAUCCCAGGAAAAAGCUGGAAAAACGAUUCCAGGGAUGAAGCUCCAGCUGCUCCAUCCAUGGGGGGGGGGGGUGGGGGUUUUUUUUGGGAUUUUAAUUUUAAACUGGAGCAGCUCCCUCGGGAAGAGAUCCCAAAAAAUUGGAGCUCACGGCUGCCCUUGGAUAACCCCGAAAUUCCCACGGGAUCGGGAGCCUCCGGCACAUUCCUGGAGUCGUCCUUGGGAGCCAAUCCCAAGGCAAAGAAAGAAAAAAAAAACCCCAAAAAAAUCCCAAAGGAGCCGCGGGAUCCCAGAGAAAUCCAAAGGGAAAAUCCCGGUUUUUCCCCCCUCCUUUUCCCACCGGGAAUUCCCACGGGAUAAUUCAGCAAUUCCUGAGGAAUGGGGUUGGGAAUUUCAGGAUUUUGGGAAAGGGGGGGGGGGGGGGGGGGGCUUGGAGUGAAAAAAAGGAGGGAAAUUCCCCAAAUUCCUGGAAUGGGAGGAGAUCCCAACAUUCCCAAAGCGGAGGGGGGGGGAGGAAAACUCAGCUCGGAGCCGAGGGAAAAGCUGGAAAAGAGAGGGGAAAGCUGGAAAAGUGAGGGAAAAGCUGGGAAAGAGAGGGAAAAGCUGGAAAAGCGAAGGAAAAGCUGGAAAAGCGAAGGAAAAGCUGGAAAAGCGAAGGAAAAGCUGGGAAAGAGAGGGAAAAGCUGGAAAAGAGAGGGAAAAGCUGGAAAAGUGAGGGAAAAGCUGGAAAAGCGAAGGAAAAGCUGGGAAAGAGAGGGAAAAGCUGGAAAAGAGAGGGAAAAGCUGGAAAAGUGAGGGAAAAGCUGGAAAAGCGAAGGAAAAGCUGGGAAAGAGAGGGAAAAGCUGGGAAAGAGAGGGAAAAGCUGGAAAAGCAAAGGAAAAGCUGGGAAAGAGAGGGAAAAGCUGGAAAAGUGAGGGAAAAGCUGGAAAAGCAAAGGAAAAGCUGGAAAAGCAAAGGAAAAGGUGGAAAAGCAAAGGAAAAGGUGGAAAAGUGAGAGAAAAGCUGGAAAAGCGAAGGAAAAGCUGGGAAAGAGAGGGAAAAGCUGGAAAAGCGAGGGGAAAGCUGGAAAAGUGAGGGAAAAGCUGGAAAAGCUGGAAAAGCGAGGGGAAAGCUGGAAAAUUGAGAGAAAAGCUGGAAAAGCGAAGGAAAAGCCGGGAAAGAGAGGGAAAAGCUGGAAAAGGUGGAAAAGCUGGGAAAGAGAGGGAAAAGCUGGAAAAAUGAGGGAAAAGCUGGAAAAGUGAGGGGAAAGCUGGAAAAUUGAGAGAAAAGCUGGAAAAGCGAAGGAAAAGCUGGGAAAGAGAGGGAAAAGCUGGAAAAGUGAGGGAAAAGCUGGAAAAGCGAAGGAAAAGGUGGAAAAGCAAAGGAAAAGGUGGAAAAGUGAGAGAAAAGCUGGAGAAGUGAGGGAAAAGCUGGAAAAGCGAGGGGAAAGCGAGGGAAAAGCUGGGAAAGAGAGGGAAAAGCUGGAAAAGUGAAGGAAAAGCUGGAAAAGCGAAGGAAAAGCUGGAAAAGUGAGAAAAAAGCUGGAAAAUUGAGAGAAAAGCUGGAAAAGCAAAGGAAAAGCUGGAAAAGCAAAUGAAAAGCUGGAAAAGUGAGAGAAAAGCUGGAAAAGCAAAGGAAAAGGUGGAAAAGUGAGAGAAAAGCUGGAAAAGCAAAGGAAAAGGUGGAAAAGCGAAGGAAAAGCUGGAAAAGUGAGGGAAAAGCUGGAAAAGUGAAGGAAAAGCGAGGGAAAAGCUGGGAAAGAGAGGGAAAAGCGAGGGAAAAGCUGGGAAAGCGAGGGAAAAGCUGGGAAAGCGAGGGAAAAGCUGGGAAAGCGAGGGAAAAGCUGGGAAAGCAGCGGUGGAGAAUCCCGGGAAAGGGGGGGGAGGGCAGGGGGGAAGCAGGGACACCCCUCCCCCCCCCACCCCAAAUCGCCAGAAUUCCCCCAAAAAUUCCAAUCUCCCAAAAAAAAAAAACCAACCCCAAAGCGAGGCCGGAGCCAGGAAAAGCCCCAGGAAUUGGGGCGGGGGGGGCGGGGGGAGGCGACAUUCCCACAAAAGUCAUUCCAGGGAUUCCAGGGAGCGCUGGGCUCCGAGGAAUCCACGCGGGGGGGGGCCCGAGGGGGGGAUUUGGGGAGGGGUCCAAGCGUUCCCCAAGCGCCAGCACCCCAAAAAUCCGUCCUGAUCCUAAAAGGGGACCCCCCCAAAAAUCAGAGCCGCCCCUAAAAAAGGGGACAGGGACCCCCCAAAAAUCAGAACAACCCCAAAAAGGGGACAGGGACCCCCCCCAAAAAUCAGAGCACCUCCAAAAAGGACAGGGACCCCCCCCAAAAAUCAGAGCCCUCCCCUAAAGGGGACAGGGACCCCCCCAAAAAAUCGGAGUCCCCCCAAAAAGGGGGCAGGAGGUGACGAGGACCCCCCCCCAAAAAUCAGAGCCCCCCCUAAAUGGGACAGGGACCCCCCCAAAGAUCAGAGCACCCCCUAAAUGGGACAGGGACCCCCCAAAAAGGACAGGGACCCCCCCAAAAAAUCAAAGCCCCCCCCCCUAAAAAAUCAGAGCCCCCCAAAAAGGGGGCAGGAGGUGACGAGGACCCCCCCAAAAAGGGAACAGGGACCCCCCAAAAAUCAGAGCCCCCCCAAAAAGGGAACAGGGACCCAACCCCCCAAAAUCAGAGCCCCCCCAAAAAGGGAACAGGGACCCCCCAAAAAUCAGAGCCCCCCCAAAAAGGGAACAGGGACCCAACCCCCCAAAAUCAGAGCCCCCCCAAAAAGGGAACAGGGACCCCCCAAAAAUCAGAGCCCCCCCAAAAAAGGGGACAGGAGGGGACAGGGACCCAACCCCCCAAAAUCAGAGCCCCCCCAAAUCCAGCCCUGAGCCCCCCGCCCCCCCCAAAAUCCAGAGCCCGC
rnacentral:lncRNA from 1 species